rnacentral:lncRNA from 1 species
GAUGCCUCCUCAGGAGUUGAGAAUGCAACAAAUCCUGAUCCUCGACUUACGCCAUUCGGGUCCCUCAUAACCUUUCAAGUGUAGAGCACUUAAUAAAGAGAUAUUACAACAAACAAAGAUUUAGUGUCAGGCCAAUUAUACUACUUACCUUGCAAGAGGUAAUGGUACCAAAAGGGGAGAACAGCUCCUUAAGUUUAUCAUCACCAAUGCUAUCAUCUAAAUUUUUGACAUACAAGUUUGCCCCUUGAUAUUUAUCAGCAGCUUCUUUCAUGCUCUGCUCAAAUCGUUGUUUCAAUUCAUUCUCCCUUUCAGAUUUCUUCUGAGCUUUUCCAACAUACCAUUCCUUAUCAUCAAGUUUUUUGCCAUUGAGAGCCUCAACAGCCCUAGCAGCAUCAUCAGCAUUCUCAAAAUUCACAAACAAGCACUUUGAUUUCCCAUCUCCAUCCCUCAUCACUACAGCACUAGUAAUAGUUCCAAAUUCACCAAAAAUCACCUUCAAUUCAUCAUCAGUAGUUGAUUCUGCUAGAUUCUUGACAAAAACAUUAUUGAAUUUUGCUUUGUCAAUAGCACCUUCUCUCUCUUGCUUGCGAAGAAAGGGUCCCACAUACACUUGCUUAUCAUUCAACAACAUACCAUUCAGCUUCUCUAUGGCUUUUUGGGCAGAUUCCUCAUUAUCAAAUUGAACAAAGCCAUAUCCUUUUGAUUGCCCAGAUGAAUCUGUAGCUACCUUGCAUGAAAGGAUAUUUCCAAAUGUAGAGAAGGUAUCAUGUAAUGCCUUGUGGUCAAUU